rnacentral:rRNA from 1 species
CCUACGGGAGGCAGCAGUAGGGAAUUUUCCGCAAUGGAGGAAACUCUGACGCAGCAACGCCGCGUGAGUGAAGAAGGUCUUCGGGGUGUAAAGCUCUGUCAGUGGGGACGAAACCUGACGGUACUCACUGAAGAAGCCCUGACUAAUUCCGGGCAAGCAGCCGCGGGAAUCUGGGGGCGGCAAGCGUCGUCCGGACUCAUUGGGCGUAAAGAGUGCGUAGGUGGCACGUUAAGCCUGGUGUCAAAGGCGGACGUUCAACUUGCGUAGGGCACUGGAGACUGGCGGGCUUGAUUGCGGUAGAGGUAAGGGGAAUUCCAGGUGUAGCGGUGAAAUGCGUAGAUAUCAGGAGGAACAUCAGUGGCGUAAGCGCUUUACUGGGCCGUAAUUGACGCUGAGGAACGAAAGCGGGGGGAGCAAAUGGGAUUAGAUACCCGUGUAGUC